rnacentral:tRNA from 1 species
CCCACAUAGCUCAGUUGGUAGAGCGCAUCCUUGGUAAGGAUGAGGUCACCGGUUCGACUCCGGUUGUGGGCUC